CCUCUUGCCUGGAGCAUUAACACAACGUGGCUGCAAAGUUAGUCCUUUCCCGCUACCAUCUCCUGAAUACUGGGACUAACUACACGUAUGCACGAACCUGCCCAUCUUUGCCUCUGUUAACAGCUGCCACUGUCUCUUCACGACAUGAUGGCUGACCUAGGAUUCUGAGGAGUUAAUGUUUCCAUGAAUAUCUCAGAAGGAGAUGUGGACAAACGAACAGUUAUCUCACUCCUGUAGGUUGGACUACAGUGAUCACUGAGUAGGAGCUUCGUCUUUAAAAUCUGGGGUGUGCUGUUAUGCAAUCUUCUUUCCCUGCCCAGUACUGGAUCUGUGAAAAGCUGAAUCAUGAAUCAGUGAGUGUGCGGAUUGGAACCCAAGUUGCUCUCUGGAUAGAACGAAAGGAGUCGUGCCCCAAGAAGAUGGAGAGGGAAGUUAUGAAAUGCUGUGACCAAAUAACAAAUGCUGAUGUUUGGGGAGAUAACUGUUUCCCAUAGGAAAUAGAGUGAAUGCGAUGUCUUUCUUUUGUGAGGGAUUCAUAGACCGCUUCUCAACGCUUGUUACAUGUUACUCCUUUUUUCGAGAUUUUUAUUUACCUAACUGGGAAAGAAACCAGAACAAGGUUUUCAUUGAAUUCUGAUACAGGUAUUUAAAGACUUACGGACAAGAUAUAGAAGAAGAAGUGGUAAUUAACUGAUUAAAGAAGUACAGUUUAUAUCCAGUAGACAGACAGGCUCCAGACAUCCUUAGUGCUGUCUUAGCAUCAAAGGUUAAUCUACCUAAUACUUGUCAUCCUGAAAUGCAUGGUGGAACAUCCAACAGACAAGAGCUACUUCAGGGAAGGACUAUGAUUUUUGUCGUGGAAGACAUUUAACACAGGGCAGCUCCUGUGCACUUACAUGAUAGAUAUUGCUCUUCCGGGGACUCUGAAUGCUCAUCCCACUUUCAGCUCACUAGGCACAUCGAACUAGAAAUUUUAUCAUCUCGUGAAUUAGUCCAAUACCUGAAGGAGCAAGAGAACCAACACCCAGUUGACAAGAAUAUGACCUGUUGAUUGAAGACCAUUAAGAAAGUAACUUGAUUCAGUUGGACUGGACUUUUUUAUUCUAUUGAAAAAGGAAUUUAUUUCCCCUCAGUGAACGUAACAUGAUCAACAUUUUGAAAGUUGUGAACAUGCAUAGUUCUAUAAUUUACAAAAUAAUUAUAAAAAUCUGAGUAUGGAUGCAGCAUAAUUUCAGAACAGAAUAGCCAUCAUACUUUUUAUAUAUCUUAAAUUCGAGUUUUCAAGAGUAUAUUUCUAUGUUAUAUCCUUUGAUUAGUACAAUAUAAAAUCUACAUCUAAUAUGUACUUCAGGUUUUAUUAGAUCAUGCCAUAUUACUGUACAAUUUGGACUUUUCCAUUUUUAUAUAAAAUGUAACAUGCAUUGUACAUUAAUAUUUAUAUAUCUUGUUUAUUUAUAUAUCUUUAGAAUUAAUUUCUGCCAAUUAUUUUCUUUAUUUGAAUACUUGGGGUAUCAUAAAGGUGCUGUUGAGGUAUUCUCAAUAUGCUUGUACAACUUCCUGCCUGUAGUUAAUAAAUGUGGAUAUUUCAUUAAACAAUUGAAA
rnacentral:lncRNA from 1 species